rnacentral:rRNA from 1 species
GACGAACGCUGGCGGCGUGCUUAACACAUGCAAGUCGAACGGAAAGGCCCUGCUUUUGUGGGGUGCUCGAGUGGCGAACGGGUGAGUAACACGUGAGUAACCUGCCCUUGACUUUGGGAUAACUUCAGGAAACUGGGGCUAAUACCGGAUAGGAGCUCCUGCUGCAUGGUGGGGGUUGGAAAGUUUCGGCGGUUGGGGAUGGACUCGCGACUUAUCAGCUUGUUGGUGGGGUAGUGGCUUACCAAGGCUUUGACGGGUAGCCGGCCUGAGAGGGUGACCGGCCACAUUGGGACUGAGAUACGGCCCAGACUCCUACGGGAGGCAGCAGUGGGGAAUAUUGCACAAUGGGCGGAAGCCUGAUGCAGCAACGCCGCGUGCGGGAUGACGGCCUUCGGGUUGUAAACCGCUUUCGCCUGUGACGAAGCGUGAGUGACGGUAAUGGGUAAAGAAACACCGGCUAACUACGU